GAUGAACGCUGGCGGCGUGCUUAACACAUGCAAGUCGAGCGAAGCAGUUAAGAAGAUUCUUCGGAUGAUUCUUAACUGACUGAGCGGCGGACGGGUGAGUAACGCGUGGGUGACCUGCCCCAUACCGGGGGAUAACAGCUGGAAACGGCUGCUAAUACCGCAUAAGCGCACAGAGCUGCAUGGCUCGGUGUGAAAAACUCCGGUGGUAUGGGAUGGGCCCGCGUCUGAUUAGGCAGUUGGCGGGGUAACGGCCCACCAAACCGACGAUCAGUAGCCGGCCUGAGAGGGCGACCGGCCACAUUGGGACUGAGACACGGCCCAAACUCCUACGGGAGGCAGCAGUGGGGAAUAUUGCACAAUGGGGGAAACCCUGAUGCAGCGACGCCGCGUGAGCGAAGAAGUAUUUCGGUAUGUAAAGCUCUAUCAGCAGGGAAGAUAAUGACGGU
rnacentral:rRNA from 1 species